ensembl:miRNA gmo-mir-23b gmo-mir-23b
GGGUUCCUGGCGUGCUGAUUUGUGAUUUAUGAUAAAAUCACAUUGCCAGGGAUUACCA